rnacentral:rRNA from 1 species
GACGAACGCUGGCGGCGUGCUUAACACAUGCAAGUCGAACGGAAAUGCCCUGCUUUUGUGGGGUGCUCGCGUGGCGAAAGGGUGGGGAAACAGUGAGUAACCUGCCCCCGACCUUCGGAUUACUUCAGGGAACUGGGGCUAAUACCGGGUAGGAGCGCCUGCUGCACGGUGGGGGUCGGAAAGUUACGGCGGUUUGGGAUGGUUUCGGGGCUGAUCAGCUCGUUGGUGGGUUAGUGGCUGACCAAGGCAUUGACGGGCAGGCGGCCGGAGGGGGUGACCGGCCACAUUGGGACUGAGGUACGGCCCAGACUCGGACGGGAGGCAGCAGUGGGGGAUAUUGUACGGUGGGCGGAAGCCGGAUGCGGCAAAGCCGCGUGCGGGAUGACGGCCUUCGGGUUGUAAACCGCUUUCGGCUGUGACGAGGCGUGAGUGACGGUAAUGGGUAAAGAAGCACCGGCUAACUACGUG